rnacentral:rRNA from 1 species
CACGGGGUUGCGAGCGUUGUCCGGAAUUACUAGGCGUAAAGGGCAGGCAGGCGGAUCCAUAAGUUUAUCGUUUAAGGCGUCGGCUUAACCGGCGUAGGGCGGUAGAUACUGUGGAUCUGGAAUGCGGUUGGGGAAGACAGAAUUCCUGGUGUAGCGGUGGAAUGCGCAGAGAUCAGGAGGAAUACCGAAGGCGAAGGCAGUCUUCCAAGCCGUUAUUGACGCUCAACUGCGAAGGUGUGGGUAUCAAACAGGAUUAGAUACUCGGGUAGUCCCUGA